CUUUUAUUUAAAGUAUGUACUUUCCUCCUUUAGACCAAAGCAUCCAUCCUUAAGGUAUGAUGACAGGUCUCCUACAACCAAGACUUCCUUCCCUCUAUGUCAUGUUUACUUGUUUACAGCCCCCUUUAUAAAGAGAACCUGGAUCCCUCUCUCCCAGGGGACAGGCAAUGGUCCCAGAUCAUUGUUACCCUUCCAAGUAUGCCCACACUGUCUCAUUACUGGGUCCUCAGCCUUGCCAGCAUUUUGGAGUGGAAUGGUAGGUAGGGACACUGCCAGGUGAGUCAGAUCUCCAAAUCAGUCCCUGUUUCUGGGCCCUGCCUGACCCAGAACCUGUGCUCCUCAGGAGUGCAGUGUACUUCGUCUCUUCUGGAGCUUUCCCUGCAAGGCUGCAGACACUGAUCGGGGAGCCAGGGACAUGGGGGAUGGAGGUUUCUCACCCCAUCCCCCAUUCUGACGUCACAGGCCUCAUUUUCUGACACUAAAUGGUUGCCAUGGAAACAAGUUCCUUAAAGUGCACGAUGACUUGAGUGGGGAGGGAGGGCCAUAGGAGCCAGUCAUACCAUGAGGAAUCCACAGAGCCCCUCAGAAUCAAGCUGCUCAGAGUCCAUAUCCUCUGCUGUAGGGAGACGCCCCGAGCUAGCAGAGCCAGCCGUGCCGGGAGUGGGAGCCGGAGCCUGAACCGGAGCUGACGCAUGAGCGAGCGCUGGAGCAGGCGGUGGAGCCCGGGCUGGAGCCGCGCGAAGCUCAGCCUGCGGAGGAGGGAGGACGCCAACCGGAGUGGAAGCCCGGGCAGGACCAGCGUGUGGUCCCAGAACGGGGUCUGAUGGAAGGCGGGAGGAGAGGGGGGCGCGAGAGCCUGGGAUGCGGACCAGGAGUCGCUCUCAAAUCCUCCAUCCGCCAGGCCAGCCCAGAGCGAGGCCCGCUCUGGAGGGAGGGCUGGGCUAGACCUUCAGAGGCUGGAAAGCUUGAACCGGCUCUCCAAUGGACCCCACCCCGCCCCCAUUGUAUAAUUCAGUGCGAAACCGGACAAUAAAUGUCACAGUUUUAAUUUUUCCCGUGA